GAGCAUUUGAAAAUGAAAUUGAAGCAGCAAGAGCUCAUGAUUUAAUUGCCAUUAAGAAUCGUGGAGAUUCUUUGCGUACCAAUUUUCCGUUGAGUUCCUAUACGAAGGAAAUAUCUGAAAUGGAAACUAUGAGCAUAGAAGAUUGUAUUCUUACUAUUAGAAGGGACUACAAGAAGUCUAAGUCUGCAAGUUAUAGUGGCAUAAAAAGGUUUACAAAUACAUAUUAAAAAACUUUCUUUUGUACCCCUAAAUAGCUAUUUAUUUUCUACCAUCCUCCCUCUUUCUCAUUCUCUCUCUCUGUCUCGCACUCUCAUGGUACUUGCUAUUUAAAUAGAAACGCCAAGAUCAAAUGGGAAUCAGGAUUGGAAAAUGCUAAUGGGAUGCAAACUCUAGACAUGGGUAUAUUUGGUAAGUUCACAUUCACAAUUCUUCCAUGUUAUUAUUCAAGACCAUAGUUUUUAAUUAGGAGUCUUGACAAUAAUUGCACUCUUGAUAUCGUUGUUUCGGAAAACUCUUCAACUCCAUCGAGAUCUAAUUUAUGACCUUAUUAAUUGCAUUGUGUAACACCCCGA